AUUGAACGCUGGCGGCAGGCCUAACACAUGCAAGUCGAACGAGUGGCGGACGGGUGAGUAAUGUCUGGGAAACUGCCUGAUGGAGGGGGAUAACUACUGGAAACGGUAGCUAAUACCGCAUACCAUCAGAUGUGCCCAGAUGGGAUUAGCUAGUAGGUGGGGUAAAGGCUCACCAAGGCGACGAUCCCUAGCUGGUCUGAGAGGAUGACCAGCCACACUGGGACUGAGACACGGCCCAGACUCCUACGGGAGGCAGCAGUGGGGAAUAUUGCGCAAUGGGGGCAACCCUGACGCAGCCAUGCCGCGUGAAUGAAGAAGGCCUUCGGGUUGUAAAGUUCUUUCGGUAGCGAGGCGUUAACUACAGAAGAAGCACCGGCUAACUCCGUGCCAGCAGCCGCGGUAAUUC
rnacentral:rRNA from 1 species